GACGAACGCUGGCGGCGUGCCUAAUACAUGCAAGUCGAGCGAUGAAGCUUGGUGCUUGCACCAAUUUGAAGAGCAGCGCACGGGUGAGUAACGCGUGGGGCAUCUGCCUUUGAGCGGGGGACAACAUGUGGAAACGAAUGCUAAUACCGCAUAACAACUUUAAACAUAAGUUUGGAGUGUGAAAGAUGCCAUUGCAUCACUCAAAGAUGAUCCCGCGUUGUAUUAGCUUGGUGGUGAGGUAACGGCUCAUCAACGCGAUGAUACAUAGACGACCUGAUCGGGUGAGCGGCCACAUUGGGACUGAGACACGGCCCAAACUCCUACGGGAGGCAGCAGUAGUGCAUCUUCGGCCAUGGACGGAAGUCUGACCGCGCUACGCCGCGUGAGUGAAGAAGGUUGUCGGAUCGUAAAACUCUGUUUGUGGAUAAGAACGUUGGUGAGAGUGGAAAGCUCAUCAAGUGACGGUAACUACUCAGAAAGGGACGGCUAACUACGUG
rnacentral:rRNA from 1 species